GCCCCGAGCAUAUCAGAACGUAGCCCACUUGAGUACCAAAGCUGUCAGAUUCAUUUUAGUCUACUCCCCACCUAAAUGACAUUAGUUUAUGUUACAUCACAAAAGGGCCAACAAUAAGUCAGUAGUGCUUGGAAGCGUCUAACAAACAAAUUCUGUGAGGCAAAAUAGAUUUUACUGGGAGCCCACAGGAAUCAACUUAAUGGCAGCAGCGAUGGGCAUGCUGAUGAAUCCGAU
rnacentral:misc_RNA from 1 species